CAGCAGCCGCGGGAAUACGGAGGGCGCGAGCGUUACCCGGAAUUACUGGGCGUAAAGCGUGCGUAGGCGGUGAGUUAAGUCUGCUGUGAAAUCCCCGGGCUCAACCUGGGAAUGGCAGUGGAUACUGGCUCGCUAGAGUGUGUCAGAGGAUGGUGGAAUUCCCGGUGUAGCGGUGAAAUGCGUAGAUAUGCGGAGGAACACCGAUGGCGAAGGCAGCCCCCUGGGCCAACACUGACGCUCAUGCACGAAAGCGUGGGGAGCAAACAGGAUUAGAUACCCGCGUAGUCCCUGUCUCUUAUAC
rnacentral:rRNA from 1 species